rnacentral:rRNA from 1 species
UACGUAGGGGGCAAGCGUUGUCCGGAUUUAUUGGGCGUAAAGAGCGUGUAGGCGGCCAUGCAGGUCCGUUGUGAAAACUCGAGGCUCAACCUCGAGACGCCGAUGGAAACCGCAUGGCUAGAGUCCGGAAGAGGAGAGUGGAAUUCCUGGUGUAGCGGUGGAAUGCGCAGAUAUCAGGAGGAACACCAGUGGCGAAGGCGGUUCUCUGGGCCUUACCUGACGCUGAGGAGCGAAAGCGUGGGGAGCGAACAGG